UUCCGGUUGAUCCCGCCGGAGGUUACUGCUAUCGAGGUUCGACUAAGCCAUGCGAGUCGAAUGUAGCAAUACAUGGCGUACUGCUCAGUAACACGUGGACAACCUACCCUCCGGACGGGUAUAAACCCGGGAAACUGGGUAUAAUCCCCGAUAGAUCUCGGUCGCUGGAAUGCUCCGAGAUCGAAAGCUCCGGCGCCGGAGGAUGGGUCUGCGGCCUAUCAGGUAGUAGUGGGUGUAGCGUACCUACUAGCCUACGACGGGUACGGGUUGUGAGAGCAAGAGCCCGGAGAUGGAUUCUGAGACACGAAUCCAGGCCCUACGGGGUGCAGCAGGCGCGAAAACUUUACAAUGCCGGCAACGGCGAUAAGGGGACCUCGAGUGCCAGGUUACAAAUCUGGCUGUCGUGAUGCCUAAAAAGCAUUGCAUAGCAAGGGCCGGGCAAGACCGGUGCCAGCCGCCGCGGUAACACCGGCGGCUCGAGUGGUAACCGUUAUUAUUGGGUCUAAAGGGUCUGUAGCCGGCCGGAUAAGUCUCUUGAGAAAUCCAGCAGCUCAACUGUUGGGCUUUCAGGAGAUACUGUUCGGCUCGAGGCCGGGAGAGGUGAGAGGUACUUCAGGGGUAGGGGUGAAAUCUUGUAAUCCUUGAAGGACCACCAGUGGCGAAGGCGUCUCACCAGAACGGACCUGACGGCAAGGGACGAAAGCUAGGGGCACGAACCGGAUUAGAUACCCGGGUAGUCCUAGCCGUAAACGAUACUCGCUAGGUGUCGGCCACGGUGCGACCGUUGUCGGUGCCGUAGGGAAGCCGUGAAGCGAGCCACCUGGGAAGUACGGCCGCAAGGCUGAAACUUAAAGGAAUUGGCGGGGGAGCACCACAACGGGUGGAGCUUGCGGUUUAAUUGGAGUCAACGCCGGA
rnacentral:rRNA from 1 species